ACUGACCCUUUUCGGACUCAGCCUGCCUGCACCCAGGUGAAGUGAGCAACAGCCAUGUUGCUCACACAAAGCCUGUUUGGUGGUCUCUUCACAUGGACGCGCAUGAAAUUUGGUGCCGUGACUCGGAUCGGGGGACCUCCCUUGGGAGAUCAAUCCCCUGUCCUCCUGCUCUUUGCUCCGUGAGAAAGAUCCACCUACGACCUCAGGUCUUCAGACCGACCAGCCCAAGAAACAUCUCACCAAUUUCAAAUCCGGCAGGAAUGUCAGGCCUCUGGGCCCAAGCCAAGCCAUCACAUCCCCUGUGACCUGCACCUAUAAGCCCAGAUGGCCUGAAGUAACUAAAGAAUCACAAAAGAAGUGAAUAUGCCCUGCCCCACCUUAACUGAUGACAUUCCACCACAAAAGAAGUGUAAAUGGCCGGUCCUUGCCUUAACUGAUGACAUUACCUUGUGAAAGUCCUUUUCCUGGCUCAUCCUGGCUCCAAAAGCAUCCCCACUGAGCACCUUGCGACCCCCACUCCUGCCCACUGAGCACCUUGCAACCCCCACUCCUACCCGCCAGAGAACAAACCCCCUUGGACUGUAAUUUUCCUUUACCUACCCAAAUCCUAUAAAACGGCCCCACCCUUAUCUCCCUUCGCUGACUCUCUUUUCGAACUCAGCCCGCCUGCAACCAGGUGAAAUAAACAGCCAUGUUGCUCACA
rnacentral:lncRNA from 1 species